rnacentral:rRNA from 1 species
UACGUAGGGGGCUAGCGUUACCCGGAUUCACUGGGCGUAAAGCGCGUGUAGGCGGCUGGCCAAGCGUGGUGUGAAAUCUCCGGGCUCAACCCGGAAACUGCACUGCGAACUGGCCUGGCUGGAGUGCAGGAGAGGGAUGCGGAAUUCACGGUGUAGCGGUGAAAUGCGUAGAUAUCGUGAGGAACACCAGUGGCGAAGGCGGCAUCCUGGCCUGUAACUGACGCUGAGACGCGAAAGCGUGGGGAGCGAACCGG